GACGAACCGUGCGAACGUUGUUCGGAAUCACUGGGCAUAAAGGGCGCGUAGGCGGCUUGUCAAGUCAGGGGUGAAAUCCGGCAGCUUAACUGUCGAAGUGCCUUUGAUACUGAUGAGCUCGAGGGAGGUAGGGGUAUGCGGAACUUCCGGUGGAGCGGUGAAAUGCGUUGAUAUCGGAAGGAACGCCGGUGGCGAAAGCGGCGUACUGGACCUCUUCUGACGCUGAGGCGCGAAAGCUAGGGGAGCAAACGGGG
rnacentral:rRNA from 1 species